GUUCUCCUCCUGUUAAACCCUCCAAUUCAGACCGAGAGAGGGGAGUUUUCUCUGGCUCCACUCACUGAAGGUUGAGGUGGGACAAGUCCCUUAAAGUGACCGGGACCACAGACUCCAGUAAAAAAAAGACUAUCUUCUUGUGGGGACUCACAGCAUCCUUCAGUCCUGGAAGUCUGCACUCCAGGUUAGGGGAGACAGAGCUCGUGGUAAACACUAGAGGGAAGAGUGUGUGUGGAGAGAGGCAGAGAGACAGCUCUGAUUUAGACACAGUUCUCUAUCCAAUGGUGCUUCCUGCAUUUCUCAUUGCCCGGCUUGCUGUAAAAUCCGGCUUGGAAUCUCCGAGGAACUGGAGCGUUCCACUAGAACAGUGUUGCUGUUAUAGGUGCUGGAUUCUAUUCAAGAUGUGAAUUCAGUUGGGGAAGUAUCCGGCAACGUCAGCAGUGACUGCCGGGGAAAGAGAAAAAAACCUCGUAGACAGAGGGUGGGAGAAUUCAUAAAUCCGCAGUCUGGAAUCAGCCGAAGGAAUACAUUGGAAAGUGUUGACACUUCACAAUAACAAAUGACGCUGAAGAUGGAAAGCUGCUCUUUGCCCAGAGGUGUAAUAUGGCUUUGGAGAAGUAAAGCUCAUGAGGAAGUCACAAUGCCAGAAGACCGAAGCCUCAGGAGUGUACUUGUCAUGUGUGAUGCACCCAGCUUCUGCAAAGGAUGUAUCUGACUCUGAUUUAAAUCCAAAUCCAUCAGAUUCAACAGAGACUCAAGGUUGGGAAUGGAAGGCUCUGAGAGACUUGAACUCACAAGCGAGACCUACACCCUGCAGUAGUAUUGAAGGACUGCAGCACUAUCAGAAGCACCAGUCAGCUGAUGGCUUUUCUGCCCAAUAACAGAACCAAAGGUGGAACAAGAUUUCCCAGGCGGUUUCCUGCAGCUCUUUCCACCAGUAUGGGUCAAAGCAAAUACCGUUCCACCCGACAUGUGUCUGUUGAGCAAAUCAGAGGUCCAUAUUCUUACUCCAUCACACAACCAUCCCAACACUAUGUGUUGAAUAAGGCCUUGAAAGGGUUAACUGACAUCAUGAGCUGAGCCCUGCCCUGCAGGAUAUAAAAGCUGGGAGGAGCUAACCAGUUGUUGAUCUAUUGUAAGACCAAUUCUAGUGGUAUGUCCAAUUAACUAAUGUGUUGUAAAAGCCUAUUUGUAACUUUAAUGUGAUAUAAUUUAACUUCUAAGUAUUAUGUAAUAAAUCUACUCUGUUAAGAACUUGAGAACUAGGAGCAUGAGGCCAUUCAGCCCCUUGAGCCUGCUCCACUAUUCUAUAUGAUCAUUGCUGCUAUCACCUGGAUCAGAUCAACUCUGCUUUCCAAACCCUUCAGAAAGCUGAAGAAAUUUGGCAUGACGGUGAAUACCCUUGCCAACUUUUAUAGGUGCAUCAUCGAGAUC